CCCAAAGAGGAAAGAGAAGGGCUUUGUUGGCUGAAAGGACUGCAGCCCGAAGAGCCGCCUUCCAAGGAGGGCGAAGAGGAGGGACGCGUGGCCAGUUCUGCAGGGUCUCACACCCUGAGGUCUUGGAGUUGUCCCCAAAAUCACUUCUCUAGAUCACUUCUAAGUCCAGCUGUCCACACCACUUGGCUAGCUACUAGGCACCCCAAACUUAACGUGUAUGAAUGGUGCUCCUGGCCCUACGUACCAGAAACAUGCGCCACCAAACCGUCUUUGCCAUCUCAAUCAGUGGCUACUCUGUUCUUUCAGAUGCUCAGGCCAAAACCUUAGAGCCAACCCUCCCUUCUCUUUCACACCCUACAUCAAGCCAGUCAGAGAAUCGUGUUGGCCCUGUCUGCAAAACAGAUCCUUAAUCCGACCACUUCUCACCACCCCCAGCUGCACCGCCUCCUCCAACCUGCAGGCCGGUGUCACUACCGCCUCACCCAGGUGAUUGGUUACUCUGGCCUCCCUGCUGCCACCAGGCACCUGCAGCCUGACCUACACACAGCAGCCAGACCCUACUUCAGAGCCCGAACCCUGAACCAUGUGGGACAUAGGUCUUCACACCAGGGCAAUGAAGUUUCCUGGUGAGUGCUGGCACAGAGUCUUGUUCUCCUCUGCCAGGUGAGAACCUGGAUGCAGAUGCUCUGAAACUCUUGCCUCCACAUGCAACAUGUGAAUAGCACCAAAGCAGCAGAAGAUAGAGAAGAGAGGAACGGAAGCAGAAAUCUCACAAUAUUAUUUGAGCCCUGAAUCCUGCCCUGCUUGAAACUAGAUCUCCCACUGGACUUUUCAGAUGUCAGCCAAAAAUUUCCUUUUGUUUUUAAGUCAGUGUGGCAUGGAAUUUCUGCUAUUUGCAAUAAAAAGACUCCUCAUUGAAUAAUUUUAA